rnacentral:rRNA from 1 species
ACGGGUGAGUAACGCGUGAGUAAUCUGCCUCAUACAGGAGAAUAACACUAAGAAAUUGGUGCUAAUACUCCAUAAGCUCACAUUAUGACAUCAUAGAGUGAGAAAAGAUUUAUCGGUAUGAGAGGAGCUCGCGUCUGAUUAGCUAGUUGGUGGGGUAACGGCCUACCAAGGCGACGAUCAGUAGCCGACCUGAGAGGGUGAUCGGCCACAUUGGAACUGAGACACGGUCCAAACUCC